rnacentral:ncRNA from 1 species
UACUUUCAUGGGGGGGCAAAUUUGGGUAUCACCCAAGUAUUUAUCCAUCUGUGACAAUUUUAUGUAUAUUGUGCAUUACUGCUAAUCACCAUGAAUAUUAUCUA